rnacentral:rRNA from 1 species
UGGGGAAUAUUGGGCAAUGGGCGAAAGCCUGACCCAGCAACGCCGCGUGAGUGAUGAAGGCCUUCGGGUUGUAAAACUCUUUGGACAGGGACGAAGAAAGUGACGGUACCUGUAGAACAAGCCACGGCUAACUACGUGCCAGCAGCCGCGGUAAUACGUAGGUGGCGAGCGUUAUCCGGAUUUACUGGGUGUAAAGGGCGUGCAGGCGGGCUGAUAAGUCAGAUGUGAAAUCCCCGAGCUUAACUCGGGAACUGCAUCUGAUACUGUUGGUCUUGAGUGCUGGAGAGGAUAGUGGAAUUCCUAGUGUAGCGGUAAAAUGCGCAGAUAUUAGGAGGAACACCAGUGGCGAAGGCGGCUAUCUGGACAGUAACUGACGCUGAGGCGCGAAAGCGUGGGUAGCAAACAGG